AACGUUAUAUUUACAUAUAUCAUAACCGUUUAUUUGGCGUAUGCUUUACUAGAAACCAUUUGGCUUUUCAGUCAACUGGACUCGCCGUAAAAUAUUUCAAUGGUGUAACUUCACUAUUUUUACCACUUGCGAUUAGGGCAAGUUAGACAUGAAAAUUGGUUGCCCGGAAUAAAAUUCACUUGCCAAAAUUUGAAGCAAAUAAAUA